rnacentral:rRNA from 1 species
UUUCCGGAAGGGAACCUGCGGAAGGAUCAUUACCGAGUUGAUUCGAGCUCCGGCUCGACUCUCCCACCCCAUGUGUACCUACCUCUGUUGCUUUGGCGGGCCGCGGUCCUCCGCACCGACCCCCGUUCGGGGGGCCGGCCAGCGCCCGCCAGAGGACCACAAAACUCCAGUCAGUAAACGUCGCAGUAUGAGAAACAAGUUAAUAAACUAAAACUUUCAACAACGGAUCUCUUGGUUAUGGCAUCGAUGAAGAACGCAGCGAAAUGCGAUAAGUAAUGUGAAUUGCAGAAUUCAGUGAAUCAUCGAAUCUUUGAACGCACAUUGCGCCCCUUGGUAUUCGGAGGGGCAUGCCUGUUCGAGCGUCAUUUCAACCCUCAAGCUCUGCUUGGUAUUGGGCUCCGUCCUCUGUGGACGCGCCUAGAAGACCUCGGCGGUGGCGUCUUGCAUCAAGAGUAGUAGAAAACACCUCGCUGAGGAGCGCACGGCGUCGCCCGCCGGACGAACCUAUGAAUUUUCUCAAGGUGACCU